UACGAGGGGGGGCUAGCGUUGCUCGGAAUGACUGGGCGUAAAGGGCGCGUAGGCGGAUGGUACAGUCAGAUGUGAAAUUCCCGGGCUCAACCUGGGGGCUGCAUUUGAUACGUGCUGUCUUGAGUUCGGAAGAGGGUCGUGGAAUUCCCAGUGUAGAGGUGAAAUUCGUAGAUAUUGGGAAGAACACCGGUGGCGAAGGCGGCGACCUGGUCCGAGACUAACGCUGAGGCGCGAAAGCGUGGGGAGCAAACAGG
rnacentral:rRNA from 1 species